AGGGCAACCUCGUGGCCGUGAAGCACCUCAACCACAAGCGCAUCGAGCUGACGCGCAAGGUCCUCUUCGAGCUGAAGCACAUGCGGGAUGUGCAGAACGAGCACCUGACCCGCUUCAUCGGCGCCUGCACCGACCCCCCCAACAUCUGCAUCCUCACUGAGUACUGCCCCCGCGGGAGCCUGCAGGACAUCCUGGAGAACGAGAGCAUCACUCUGGACUGGAUGUUCCGCUACUCCCUCACCCACGACAUCGUCAAGGUACCGAGGACGCUGG